GACGAACGCUGGCGGCGUGCCUAAUACAUGCAAGUCGAGCGGACAGAAGGGAGCUUGCUCCCGGAAGUUAGCGGCGGACGGGUGAGUAACACGUGGGCAACCUACCCUGUAGAUCGGGAUAACAUCGAGAAAUCGGUGCUAAUACCGGAUAAUCAUUUGAAGUGCAUGCUUCGAAUGUAAAAGAUGGCUCCGGCUAUCACUACGGGAUGGGCCCGCGGCGCAUUAGCUAGUUGGUAAGGUAAUGGCUUACCAAGGCAACGAUGCGUAGCCGACCUGAGAGGGUGAUCGGCCACACUGGGACUGAGACACGGCCCAGACUCCUACGGGAGGCAGCAGUAGGGAAUCUUCCGCAAUGGACUAAAGUCUGACGGAGCAACGCCGCGUGAGUGAUGAAGGUUUUCGGACCGUAAAGCUCUGUUGUUAGGGAAGAACAAGUGCCGUUUGGAUAAGGCGGCACCUUGACGGUACCUAACCAGAAAGCCACGGCUAACUACGUGCCAGCCGCCGCGGUAAAAC
rnacentral:rRNA from 1 species